rnacentral:rRNA from 1 species
AUUGAACGCUGGCGGCAUGCCUCACACAUGCAAGUCGAACGGCAGCACGGGAGCAAUCCUGGUGGCGAGUGGCGAACGGGUGAGUAAUAUAUCGGAACGUGCCCAGUCGUGGGGGAUAACGUAGCGAAAGCUACGCUAAUACCGCAUACGAUCUAUGGAUGAAAGCGGGGGAUCGCAAGACCUCGCGCGAUUGGAGCGGCCGAUAUCAGAUUAGGUAGUUGGUGAGGUAAAGGCUCACCAAGCCGACGAUCUGUAGCUGGUCUGAGAGGACGACCAGCCACACUGGGACUGAGACACGGCCCAGACUCCUACGGGAGGCAGCAGUGGGGAAUUUUGGACAAUGGGCGCAAGCCUGAUCCAGCAAUGCCGCGUGCAGGAUGAAGGCCU